rnacentral:rRNA from 1 species
UGGAGGCAGCAGUAAGGAAUAUUGGACAAUGGGCGAAAGCCUGAUCCAGCAAUGCCGCGUGUGUGAAGAAGGCCUGCGGGUUGUAAAGCACUUUUAUCGGGAAAGAAAAGCUUGGAGCUAAUACCUCCAAGCCUUGACGGUACCCGUUGAAUAAGCACCGGCUAACUCCGUGCCAGCAGCCGCGGUAAUACGGAGGGUGCAAGCGUUAAUCGGAAUUACUGGGCGUAAAGCGAGUGUAGGUGGUUGCAUAAGUCGGAUGUGAAAGCCCUGGGCUUAACCUGGGAAUUGCAUUCGAUACUGUGUGACUAGAGUCUGAUAGAGGGAAGUGGAAUUCCAGGUGUAGCGGUGAAAUGCGUAGAUAUCUGGAGGAACAUCAGUGGCGAAGGCGGCUUCCUGGAUCAAGACUGACACUGAGGCUCGAAAGCGUGGGGAGCAAACAGGAUUAGAUACCCCGGUAGUCC